rnacentral:rRNA from 1 species
UACGUAGGGUGCAAGCGUUGUCCGGAAUUAUUGGGCGUAAAGAGCUCGUAGGCGGUUCAGUAAGUCGGGUGUGAAAACUCUGGGCUCAACCCAGAGACGCCACCCGAUACUGCUGUGACUUGAGUACGGUAGGGGAGUGGGGAAUUCCUGGUGUAGCAGUGAAAUGCGCAGAUAUCAGGAGGAACACCAGUGGCGAAGGCGCCACUCUGGGCCGUAACUGACGCUGAGGAGCGAAAGCGUGGGUAGCAAACAGG